CGGUAAUACAGAGGGUGCAAGCGUUAAUCGGAAUUACUGGGCGUAAAGCGCGCGUAGGUGGUUUGUUAAGUUGAAUGUGAAAGCCCCGGGCUCAACCUGGGAACUGCAUCCAAAACUGGCAAGCUAGAGUACGGUAGAGGGUGGUGGAAUUUCCUGUGUAGCGGUGAAAUGCGUAGAUAUAGGAAGGAACACCAGUGGCGAAGGCGACCACCUGGACUGAUACUGACACUGAGGUGCGAAAGCGUGGGGAGCAAACAGGAUUA
rnacentral:rRNA from 1 species